GGUCAGGGGAUUUCAAAUUUGAAUGUGGAUCAGAAUCACUGAUAGGGCUUGUUAAAACAGAUUUCUGCAGCUGCCUCUCUUCCCUCAGUCUCCAGGAGUGCUGUGGUGGGCAGAAAGGCAGCUGACAUUCUGUGAUGUCUCCAUUCUGUGUUCCUUCAUGAGCCCAGGGAGAAUGCCAUGGUUGGCAUCCAACAGCUCAGUCACAUAGAGAUUUGAUUGACUUGAUUGCUGGUAGUGAAGGGUAUCUUUGGUUAUGAUCUGCUAUUUUCAACUGAGACC
ensembl:snoRNA